UACGGGGGGGGCAAGCGUUGUUCGGAAUUACUGGGCGUAAAGGGCUCGUAGGUGGCCGACUAAGUCAGACGUGAAAUCCCUCAGCUUAACUGGGGAACUGCGUCUGAUACUGGAUGGCUUGAGUUUGGGAGAGGGAUGCGGAAUUCCAGGUGUAGCGGUGAAAUGCGUAGAUAUCUGGAGGAACACCGGUGGCGAAGGCGGCUCUCUGGGACGGUACUGACGCUGAGACGCGAAAGCGUGGGGAGCGAACAGG
rnacentral:rRNA from 1 species